rnacentral:lncRNA from 1 species
UUUAAAGUGACUUGCAGAAGAGUAAGGGAAGGCAGGAAAUUUAUUUCCUUAGACCCAGGGAGGACUGGUAUCACCCCAGGGAGGACUGACAUCAUCACCAAGCUGAAUGUGGAUCUUAGCUCAGUGGGACAGAGUGGUCUUCUCUGUGGGCAGGGGAUGAACAGGAAGCCAGUUUCAGAAGGCUUGAGGUCAGUUCUCAGCUCCCAUGAAGAGGCAGCUCCCAGCUGCCUGCAACUCAGCCUGGCGUCAUAGAGUACCUCCACACCUGUUUCACAGACAUAAACACAUAAAGGAAAAUAAAAAUAAUCUUCUAGAGAAAGGCUAUUGGAAGGUGGGUUCUCGGAGUUUGAAAAUCUCCACUGAUGUCUCUUCUGUGUUUUGUUUUUUAGCACUACUUCCUAUGGUUCUAUUCCCAGGUUGCACGGAUAGAAAACUUCCCAAAAAGCCACUAGUAUGCAGGGAUUCUUUGAAGAAGAGCAGAUGCCAUCUGAAGAGUGAGUGUGGGACUCCAACGAGGUGCGACUCCCCCACCAGGAACAGAUCUGUACUGCUAGAGUGCGAGCCCCGUGAAAGAGAAAGAAAGUGUUCAGGUGGCGUUCUAAAGAGACGCGAUUCCCAGACAGGAAUUCCAAGAAGACUGGAAUCUCAAGUAAGGUUUGCCACAGGACCCGAUAAUGAAAUUUCAUCUAAAGCCCAUUGUUGUGAGCCACCAGUUUGCAGAAAUCGGGAAUCCCUCAGGAAGAAUGAGGACGGCAUACUGAAGAAACAGGAUUCACAGAGGACAAGGCCUAAGAAAUGCCGACUAGAACCACAAGAAAGGUGUGUUGUUCUGCCUCCUUGCUAUCAGCCAGGGGCACCUCCGGCUCCACGUGGGCCAUAGGGGCUUCCACUGUGAUCUUCAGGAUCAAGCUGUGUCCCUGCCCUCACCCCGGUGGAACACAGUUACAAAAUCCAUUUCCUCUAUACAUCUUCGUUUUCUGCUAUUCAGAAGUUUGCCGUUAUUAGACUUCCCUGACACAAACUACAUCUUCCAAAUUUUUUCUGUAAGCCAAUACGUAUAUCUACUCCAACGAAGAAAGACAGUGUUCUCAGAAAUAAAAUGUCUUUACUAAAU